AGUGAAGUGAUACCAUGAUGAUAAUGUCGUGUCAGAAACAACCUAUGAGACAUAACCUCAGUUUCUGUACGCUUAUAUUAUGAACAUACAGAAAAAAGUCCAUUCAAAAAUACCUCAUUGCGGGCUUCAAAACAAGACAUAAAUCAAGAUAGCUCCCUUGGAGUCAAAGGAGCUACACCAACUUACAUCAGCUGAGUGAACAGGGGCUGCUAACAGGGAGUUUCGCAAGGGAGUUCUCCAGGUGGAGGAGCAAAUACAGCAUCCUUGGGGUGAUCCACUAGAGAAUAAGAACCUGAUGGGGGACCUAUACCAAAGGUUGAUCCAUAAAGUAGCCAUAGGGCCUAAAAAUGCUGUCUUGGAAGGAAAACAGCAAGAAGUGAAUGAGCUACAGAGCUGGGAAUUGAAAGGAUGGUAACCAGUGAUUACUGUGCUAAUAAGCGAUGGUCACAUAAACACCACCCUAUACCGGAAACCCACUGACCGCUAUACUUACCUACAUGCCUCCAG